CUACCGAGCUGGGUGAUAGCUGGUUACCUGUAAAACGAAUCUAAGUUCUCCCUCAGCCCCUUCCCCAAGACAAACCGAUCAAAUCCCCAUGUAAUGGGCUAAGAGCUAUUUAAAGGGGGUACAGCCCCUUUAAAAAAGGAUACAACCUCCACCAGUGGAUAACCCACCCCAACCUAGCCCCCGUGGGCCUUAAAGCAGCCACCUUCAAAGAACGCGUCAAAGCUCCACAGACUAAAAAAAUCCAAAAACAACGUAAAUCCCUGAACCCAUAACAGGUCAACCUACAACAGUAGAUGAAUCAAUGCUAAAACGAGUAACCAGGACACCAAGUCCCCUAAAGCGCCAACCUAAACACCAUUAACAGCACAACUACAAUACCAAACCCCCGACCAAACAUUGAACACACCCUGUCAGACCAACCCAGGGGCGCACACUAGGACGAUUAAAAUCUGCAGAAGGAACUCGGCAAACCUAAGACCCGACUGUUUACCAAAAACAUAGCCUUCAGCCAAACAAGUAUUGAAGGUGAUGCCUGCCCAGUGACACACGUUUAACGGCCGCGGUAUCCUAACCGUGCGAAGG
rnacentral:rRNA from 1 species